rnacentral:rRNA from 1 species
CCUUUAGGUCUGACAUAAUUCCGCGAAAGCGGGACUAAUAUCAGAUGAUGCAGCGGCUCGACAUCGAGACAGUUGUUAAACCUUCGGGGCCUAAAGAUGAGCCUGCGCCUGAUUAGGUAAUUGGCGGAGUAAAAGCCCACCAAGCCUACGAUCAGUAGCUGGUCUGAGAGGAUGAUCAGCCACACUGGAACUGAGACACGGUCCAG